rnacentral:rRNA from 1 species
CGAUGUCGGCUCGUCGCAUCCUGGGGCUGAAGUAGGUCCCAAGGGUUGGGCUGUUCGCCCAUUAAAGCGGUACGUGAGCUGGGUUUAGAACGUCGUGAGACAGUUCGGUCCCUAUCUGUCGUGGGCGGAGGAUAUUUGCGGGGAGCUGUCCCUAGUACGAGAGGACCGGGAUGGACGAACCUCCAGUGUUCCAGUUGUCCUGCCAGGGGCAUCGCUGGGUAGCUGUGUUCGGAAGGGAGAAGCGCUGAAAGCAUCUAAGCGCGAAGCCCACCCCAAGAUAAGAUAUCCCACUGGGUAACCAGGUAAGACCCCGGGUAGAUGACCCGGUUGAUAGGCUCCAAGUGUAAGGAUGGUAACAUCUUGAGCUGAGGAGUACUAAUCGGUCGAGGACUUGACCGC